GAUGAACGCUAGCGGCAGGCCUAAUACAUGCAAGUCGAACGGGAUCUGAGGGUAGCUUGCUACCCGAUUUGAGAGUGGCGCACGGGUGCGUAACGCGUGAGCAACCUACCCAUAUCAGGGGGAUAGCCCGAAGAAAUUCGGAUUAACACCGCAUAAUAAUACGCUAACACAUGUUAAUGUAUUUAAAUAUUUAUAGGAUAUGGAUGGGCUCGCGUGACAUUAGCUAGUUGGUAAGGUAACGGCUUACCAAGGCGACGAUGUCUAGGGGCUCUGAGAGGAGAAUCCCCCACACUGGUACUGAGACACGGACCAGACUCCUACGGGAGGCAGCAGUAAGGAAUAUUGGUCAAUGGGCGCAAGCCUGAACCAGCCAUGCCGCGUGCAGGAUGACUGCCCUAUGGGUUGUAAACUGCUUUUGUUAGGGAAUAAACCUACUUAUGUAUAAGUAGCUGAAUGUACCUAAAGAAUAAGGAUCGGCUAACUUCGUGCCAGCAGCCGCGGUAA
rnacentral:rRNA from 1 species